UACGUAGGGCGCAAGCGUUGUCCGGAAUUAUUGGGCGUAAAGAGCUCGUAGGCGGCUUGUCACGUCGAUUGUGAAAGCCCGAGGCUUAACCUCGGGUCUGCAGUCGAUACGGGCUAGCUAGAGUGUGGUAGGGGAGAUCGGAAUUCCUGGUGUAGCGGUGAAAUGCGCAGAUAUCAGGAGGAACACCGGUGGCGAAGGCGGAUCUCUGGGCCGAUACUGACGCUGAGAAGCGAAAGCGUGGGGAGCGAACAGG
rnacentral:rRNA from 1 species